GGGGAAUAUUGGACAAUGGGCGCAAGCCUGAUCCAGCCACGCCGCGUGAGUGAUGAAGGCCUUCGGGUCGUAAAGCUCUGUGGGGAGGGACGAACGGCGCCAUGAAGAGUGGCGAUUGACGGUACCUCCUUAGCAAGCACCGGCUAACUUCGUGCCAGCAGCCGCGGUAAUACGAAGGGUGCAAACGUUGCUCGGAAUCAUUGGGCGUAAAGCGCACGUAGGCGGCUUCAUAAGUCGGAUGUGAAAUCCCUCGGCUUAACCGAGGACGUGCAUCCGAAACUGUGAGGCUUGAGUAUGGAAGAGGGUCGCAGAAUUCCCGGUGUAGAGGUGAAAUUCGUAGAUAUCGGGAGGAAUACCAGUGGCGAAGGCGGCGACCUGGGCCAAUACUGACGCUGAGGUGCGAAAGCGUGGGGAGCAAAC
rnacentral:rRNA from 1 species